rnacentral:rRNA from 1 species
AUUGAACGCUGGCGGAAUGCUUUACACAUGCAAGUCGAACGGCAGCACGGACUUCGGUCUGGUGGCGAGUGGCGAACGGGUGAGUAAUGUAUCGGAACGUGCCCAGUCGUGGGGGAUAACGUAGUGAAAAUUACGCUAAUACCGCAUACGAUCUAUGGAUGAAAGCGGGGGAUCGCAAGACCUCGCGCGAUUGGAGCGGCCGAUAUCAGAUUAGGUAGUUGGUGGGGUAAAGGCCCACCAAGCCAACGAUCUGUAGCUGGUCUGAGAGGACGACCAGCCACACUGGAACUGAGACACGGUCCAGCCUCCUACGGGAGGCAGCAGUGGGGAAUUUUGGACAAUGGGCGAAAGCCUGAUCCAGACAUUCCGCGUGCAGGAUGAAGGCCCUCGGGUUGUAAACUGCUUUUGUACAGAACGAAAAGGUUUCUACUAAUACUAGGAGCUCAUGACGGUACUGUAAGAAUAAGCACCGGCUAACUACGUGCCAGCCGCCGCAGUAA